rnacentral:rRNA from 1 species
GUCCACGCCCUAAACGAUGCGAACUAGGUGUUGGGGAAGGAGACUUCCUUAGUACCGCAGCUAACGCGUGAAGUUCGCCGCCUGGGGAGUACGGUCGCAAGAUUAAAACUCAAAGGAAUUGACGGGGACCCCGCACAAGCGGUGGAUGAUGUGGAUUAAUUCGAUGCAACGCGAAAACCUUACCUACCCUUGACAUGUACGGAAGCCUCCCGAGACGGAGGUGUGCCCGAAAGGGAGCCGUAACACAGGUGCUGCAUGGCUGUCGU